GACGAACGCUGGCGGCGUGCUUAACACAUGCAAGUCGAGCGGUAAGGCCCUUCGGGGUACACGAGCGGCGAACGGGUGAGUAACACGUGAGUAAUCUGCCCAUCACUUCGGGAUAACUCCGGGAAACCGGUGCUAAUACCGAAUAUGACCACUUCAGGCAUCUGAAGGUGGUGGGAAGUUCCGGCGGUGAGGGUUGAGCUCGCGGCCUAUCAGCUUGUUGGUGGGGUAGUGGCUUACCAAGGCUUCGACGGGUAGCCGGCCUGAGAGGGUGACCGGCCACACUGGGACUGAGACACGGCCCAGACUCCUACGGGAGGCAGCAGUGGGGAAUAUUGGACAAUGGGCGAAAGCCUGAUCCAGCAACGCCGCGUGAGGGAUGACGGCCUUCGGGUUGUAAACCUCUUUCAGCAGGGACGAAGCGCAAGUGACGGUACCUGCAGAAGAAGCACCGGCCAACUACGUG
rnacentral:rRNA from 1 species